AAUUUAUAGAAUCAGGUUGCAAUAAAAUGAUUAUAACAUUAGAACAUUUCAAUUGCCACAGAUAAAAACAAAAAACAAAACACAGAUUGUUCAACAACUAAUUGAACAAUAAUAUGGGGCUUUUCUUUGGUAAUUUAUAUUUCUUUACUUGAGAAGAAAACAAAAUGAAGUUAAAACCACAAAGGGAAACAUAUUUGAUCAUAAUCAGCAUUACUACAGUGAAAAGACUAAAAAACAUCUUAAAAUCUUGAACAUAUCAAAUCAAUCAACUUUUAGUUGCCUUUAGUUCCAGGCCUUGAAGAGUGAGCUUAAUAUGUAAAAAUAUCAGAUAUAAAUGUAAAGAGUU
rnacentral:misc_RNA from 1 species